rnacentral:siRNA from 1 species
UAACAGGAUGCCACGUGGCA